rnacentral:rRNA from 1 species
GAUCUGUCUGGUUAAUUCCGAUAACGAGCGAGACUCUCCCCUGCUAAGUUGGAUCUUGAUUCGUGAGUAAUGCGCCCCAGUGGUGUCUUCUCACGGCUGUGCGCGGUGUAGGAGGGUGCGCUCAUGUGCUUCACGGUGCGUGUGUGUUUCUCCUUCUCUCCCGCAUGCCUGAGAGCCCCUGGGUAGUGCACACUCCAAGUCCGCCGCUGAUGCUGUAAGUCUUCUUAGAGGGAUAAACGGCUCGGAAGCCGUCAGAGACUGAGAGCAAUAACAGGUCUGUGAUGCCCUUAGAUGCUCUGGGCCGCACGCGCGCUACAAUGCGGGCACAGCAGGUGUUUUCCCUUCUCCGAGAGGAGCGGGCAACCCUCUGAAAGCCCUUGGCGUGCUUGGGCCUGGAGCUUGCAAUUUUUCUCCACAAACGAGGAAUGCCUAGUAGCGGUGGGUCACUGAGCCCACCGUGACUCAGUCCCUGCCCUUUGUACACACCGCCCGUCGCUACUACCGAUUGGGUGUACCAGUGAGAGCCUUGGACUGGCGGCCGUUGCCUUUGGCACUCGGUUUCGACUGAAAGAGGUUCGAACUGGUGCACUUAGAGGAAGUAAUAAGUUGAAACA